rnacentral:lncRNA from 1 species
UACAAAUGUUAGAUCACACAUUCUCCUUUUCUCUAUAAAAGAUGCAAUCAUGGAGCUCUCUACUAUGAGUUGAUGUGGUAUCAGGGCCAGGCAAAUAGGUUGGCAUGGUAGGCAUGUGAGGUACCGAAAGCUUAUCAGUUAUACAAAGUGCAUGCCAUAGGACAAAAUCCAAGGAUCUCUCUUAUAGUUUGGUCAGAUAGCUGUCGCCUUCACCAUAAGCUAGAGCUAGAAAGAAUGUUUGCAUUCUAUGUUUUUUACUAAGAAUUAAGGUUAUAAAGAAAAGAUGAUGUUUUCCCACGAAAAUGAGUAAUGAAUGAAGAUAAAGAAGAUCUGUAGC